AACGCUGGCGGCGUGCCUAAUACAUGCAAGUCGAACGAAACUUUCUUACACCGAAUGCUUGCAUUCACCGUAAGAAGUUGAGUGGCGGACGGGUGAGUAACACGUGGGUAAACCUGCCUAAAAGAAGGGGAUAACACUUGGAAACAGGUGCUAAUACCGUAUAUCUCUAAGGAUCGCAUGAUCCUUAGAUGAAAGAUGGUUCUGCUAUCGCUUUUAGAUGGACCCGCGGCGUAUUAACUAGUUGGUGGGGUAACGGCCUACCAAGGUGAUGAUACGUAGCCGAACUGAGAGGUUGAUCGGCCACAUUGGGACUGAGACACGGCCCAAACUCCUACGGGAGGCAGCAGUAGGGAAUCUUCCACAAUGGACGCAAGUCUGAUGGAGCAACGCCGCGUGAGUGAAGAAGGUCUUCGGAUCGUAAAACUCUGUUGUUGGUGAAGAAGGAUAGAGGUAGUAACUGGCCUUUAUUUGACGGUAAUCAACCAGAAAGUCACGGCUAACUACGUGCC
rnacentral:rRNA from 2 species